rnacentral:rRNA from 1 species
ACCCGCACAAGCGUGGAUGAUGUGGAUUAAUUCGAUGCAACGCGAAGAACCUUACCUACCCUUGACAUGUCCGGAACUUGCCAGAGAUGGCUUGGUGCCCGAAAGGGAAUCGGAACACAGGUGCUGCAUGGCUGUCGUCAGCUCGUGUCGUGAGAUGUUGGGUUAAGUCCCGCAACGAGCGCAACCCUUAUCAUUAGUUGCUACGCAAGGGCACUCUAAUGAGACUGCCGGUGACAAACCGGAGGAAGGUGGGGAUGACGUCAAGUCCUCAUGGCCCUUAUGGGUAGGGCUUCACACGUCAUACAAUGGUCGGUACAGAGGGUUGCCAAGCCGCGAGGCGGAGCCAAUCCCACAAAGCCGAUCGUAGUCCGGAUUGUUCUCUGCAACUCGAGAGCAUGAAGUCGGAAUCGCUAGUAAUCGCAGGUCAGCAUACUGCGGUGAAUACGUUCCCGGGCCUU